rnacentral:rRNA from 1 species
UGGGGAAUAUUGGACAAUGGGCGCAAGCCUGAUCCAGCCAUGCCGCGUGUGUGAUGAAGGCCUUAGGGUUGUAAAGCACUUUCGCCGAUGAAGAUAAUGACGGUAGUCGGAGAAGAAGCCCCGGCUAACUUCGUGCCAGCAGCCGCGGUAAUACGAAGGGGGCAAGCGUUGUUCGGAUUUACUGGGCGUAAAGCGUACGUAGGCGGAUAUUUAAGUCAGGGGUGAAAUCCCGAGGCUCAACCUCGGAACUGCCUUUGAUACUGGGUAUCUUGAGUCCGGGAGAGGUGAGUGGAACUCCUAGUGUAGAGGUGAAAUUCGUAGAUAUUAGGAAGAACACCAGUGGCGAAGGCGGCUCACUGGCCCGGAACUGACGCUGAGGUACGAAAGCGUGGGGAGCAAACAGGAUUAGAUACCCCCGUAGUCC